AAAAGCGUGACUUUUGAGUUAGCUCCACAUGCUUUCAAAUACAUGUUGGAAAAUAGUCAAUCGUUAAUUCUUGUGGUUGUUCCAUUGGUUUCGCUAAUGAAGGAUCAAGUACGGAAUCUGAUAAGUCGUGGAAUUCGUUCUUCCUAUGUUGGUGACGACUGCUCGGAAGAUCAACUAAAAUCUAUUUUGGAAUUCAAAGCCAGAAUCGUCUUUGGAAGUCCCGAGGCUCUUUUAAACAAUUACCGGCAUAUAUCAUCAUAUUAUCAUUAAGAGCCUUGAAGCGACACAAGAAGUUGCCAGAGCCACCUAGGUGGCCACGCAUGUCAAAUUAUUAACAAACUCCGCC